UUUUCCAAAGGUAUUUGCUUUGUAUCUGUCAUAUUUUGGUAAUUCUUGAAACAUUUUAAGCUUUAAAAAAAACCUGUAGUUGGAAGUUCCUGUUGUGGCGCAGCGGAAAUGAAUCUGACUAGGAACCAUGAGGUUGCAGGAUCGAUCCCUGGCCUCCAUCAGUGGGUUAAGGAUCCAGCAUUGCCUGGAGCUGUGGUAUAGGUCUGCAGACUUGGCUCAGAUCCCAUGUUGCUCCUGGGAACCUCCAUAUGCUGUGGGUGCGGCCCUCAAAAAGACUAAAGGCAAAAAUAAACAAAUAAAAUAAAAAUUAUAAUUGAUUUAUAAUGUUGUGCCAAUUUCUGCCGUGUAGAAAAGGGACCCCAUCACACACACACACACAUUCUUUUUUUCAUACUACCAUCAUGUUCUAUACCAAGUGAUUGGAUACAGAUCCCCCAUUUUUUUCAUUAUUAUUAUGUUUGCUAUGGUGAUAUGUGAUCAGUGGUCUUUGAUGUUACUACUAUGACUUGCGAGAGGCUCAGAUGAUGGUUAGCAGUUAUUUAGCAAUGAAAUACUUUUAAAUUAAGGUUUGCACAUGGUUUUUAAAGACAUUUUGCUACUGCAUAUUCAUGGGCUACAGUGUCAACAUAAAUUUUAUAUGCAUUGGGAAACUAAAAACUUCACAGAACUCGCUUUAUUUGGAUAUUCGCUCCAUAGUGGCAGUCUGGAACUGAACCCACCUCUCCCUCUGAAGUGUGUCUGGCGUGGACUGGGUAAUGUGAGAUUAAUUUUUUGUGUGUCAACUUGACUGGGCUGUGAGGUGCUCAGGUGUUUCAUAAAACAUUAUUCUGGGUGUGUCUGUGAGGGUGUUUCUAGAGGAGGUUACCAUUUGAGUUGGUAGAUUUAGUACAGCAGACUGCCCUCAGUGUGGGUGAGUCUCAUGAAAUCUGUCGGAGGCCUAAAUAGAAGGAAAGAGACUUUUCUCUCUCCUGCCUGAUGGCCUUCAAGCUGGGACAUAAGUAGUUUUCUGCUGCCUUUGGACUCAGACUGGAUCUUACUCCAUUGACUCUCCCGGCCAUGCCUUCGGACUACAGAUGUGGGGACUCAGUCUCCAUAACUGUGUCAGCCAAUACCUUAUAAUAAAUCUCUUUCUUGAUGUAUCCUAUUGGUUCACUUUCCCCAGGGAACUCUGACUCAUACUAGUAGUGGCCCUCACAAAAAUCACAGUUACCCAGAAACUCAGAAUGUGACCUUAUUUGGAAACAGAAUCUUUGCAGAUGUAAUUAGUUAAGGACCAAGAUGAGGUCAUACCAGAGUGGGAAGGGGGGCCCUAAAUCCAGUGACUGGUAUCCUUAUAAGUAGGAGGAAAGGAUGGCGAGACACACAGAUGCACGGAGGGAAGAUCGUGUGAAGACAGAGGCAGAGGUUGGAGUCACGCAGCUACAAGCCAAGGAAUUCUAGUGACUGCUGGAGCCACUGGCAGCUGGGAAGAGGCACGGAAGGAUUCUUCCCUAAAGACCCAAGGUGGCACGGCUCUGCCAAUACCCUGGCUUCACACGUCUCCCCUCCAGAACUAUGAGAGAAUAAGGUUCUGUUGUUUUAAGCCAUUAAGUAGGUGGUAAUUUGUUACAGCAGCCCUAAGAAAACCAAUAAGGGAUUUUCUGGGACAGGUGUCUUCACUCAAAAUUAGAGACUCACGGGGAGAAAAGAAAACUUGGUGCACGAGGAAAUGGCAGAUGAUUCUGUAUGGCUGGGGUACAGGCUGUCUGACUGGCGAGUCAAGGCCCAAGGAGAGCCUGAAAAACUAUGGGACGCGGCCUGCCACGCCCAGAGUGAUGAAAACCAGCACAUGCUAGGCUGGAUGAAGGACGAGGGCGAGGGAAUUAUGAGUCAAGUCAUUGUUUUCUUUCUACCUGCUAUGGAUGAUGGGGUUCUUUUUUGGCAAGUGUUGGCUAAAGUGAAUUGUUUGCUUUCUAAAAGUAUUCUUUUUUUUUUGCCAUUCCUUGGGCCACUCCCGUGGCAUAUGGAGGUUCCCAGGCUAGGGGUCCAUUUGGAGCUGUAGCCAUCAGCCUACGCCAGAGCCACAGCAACACCGGAUUCGAGCCGAGUCUGUGACCUACACCACAGCCUACGGCAACGCUGGAUCCUUAACCCACUGAGCAAGGCCAGGGAUCAAACCUGCAACCUCAUGGUUCCUAGUCGGAUUCGUUAACCACUGAGCCACAACGGCAACUCCAAAGUAUUAUUUUACCUAUUUUUCCUUCUACAUUUUUUUUUUUAAACAAUGACCUUUCAAAAGGGGGAGAAAUAUUUCAGAAUCCUUAAAAAUUCAACUUGAAAAAUGUAAUACUAUCAAAGAAUGGGAUAAAUGCUGAAAUAAUGUCCCUCUAAAAGAGAAUUUUAAGCAUUUGGAACAAGCUCUUGGAGAACAAGGGUCCUGUCAGACAUUUCCUUUUGUAUUCUAUAAAGACUGUCAACGACUUUAGUAUCCAGUCCUCUUGCUUCUGUGGUCCUUCUCUGAAGUCCUAUCAGAUCAUAGAGAGAAACAUUACGUUAAAUGCUAUUUCUCUCUUGCUCUUUUUUUUUUUUUUUUUUUUUUUCAGAGCCACACCUGCAGCACAUGGAAGUUCCUAGGCUAAGGGUUGAACUGGAGCUACAGCUGCUGACCUAUGCCAUAGCCACAGCAACGCCAGAUCUGAGCUGCAUCUGUGACCUAUGCCGCAGCUUAUGGCAAUGCCAGAUGGUUAACCCACUGAGUGAGGCCAGGGAUUGAAACCAUAUCCUCAUGGAGACUUUGCCAGGUUCUUAACCUGCUAAGCCACAAUGCGAACUCCCUAAUUCUCAUUUUUAUGACUUAAUGAACAAUGUCUGAGAAAGCUACUCUUCUACCAGUCCAUUAGAACCACCUGGGACGGCUUGUGGGGAAAUAAGUCGUGGUCACUCAGCUGAAACUAAUGUCAAUGGCUCAAUUAUUCAUUCAUGUUUUUCAGACUCUGGGACACACCUCUGCUGAUUACCAGCCAAGCACAACUCAUUGCAGUUAGUAUACAUUAAGCAUGAACUCCAUGUGCGAGUAGGAAAAGGACCUAAACAUUUUAAUGAGAAGGUACUCAUGGACUGAACUGGACUAUUGUCUUUAUUACUAGGUAAGAUAAAAAAUGAGAAGAGCCUUUCCUAUCUUUCAGAAAGUGGAUGACUACUAUUUUACUAAAAAGCCUCCGUGCUUACAGGAGACAGAGCCUCAGAGCUGGACAAAAUGGACAAUCUCAAAGGAGUCCUUUUUUUAUCAGAUGGAGGAAUUUCCUGUUAAGAGCUGAGUUCAGGGAGUUCCCGUAGUGGCUCAGUGGUAAUGAACCUGACUAGUAUCCAUGAGGAUGUGGGUUCGAUCCCUGGCAUCUUUCAGUGGGUUAAGGAUCUGGCAUUGCCAUGAGCUGUGGUGCAGGUCGCAGAUGAGGCUUGGAUCUGGGGUUGCUGUGGCUGUGGUAUAGGCUGGCAGCUGUAGCUCCGAUUCGACCCUUAGCCUGGGAACUUCCGUAUGCCACAGGUGUGGCCCUAAAAAGACAAAAAAAAAAAAA
rnacentral:lncRNA from 1 species